UAACGCGUGGGCAACCUGCCUUACACAGGGGGAUAACAGUUAGAAAUGACUGCUAAUACCGCAUAAGACCACGAAACUGCAUGGUUUUGUGGUAAAAACUCCGGUGGUGUAAGAUGGGCCCGCGUCUGAUUAGGUAGUUGGCGGGGUAACGGCCCACCAAGCCGACGAUCAGUAGCCGACCUGAGAGGGUGACCGGCCACAUUGGGACUGAGACACGGCCCAGACUCCUACGGGAGGCAGCAGUGGGGAAUAUUGCACAAUGGGGGAAACCCUGAUGCAGCGACGCCGCGUGAGCGAUGAAGUAUUUCGGUAUGUAAAGCUCUAUCAGCAGGGAAGAAAAUGACGGUACCUGACUAAGAAGCCCCGGCUAACUACGUGCCAGCAGCCGCGGUAAUACGUAGGGGGCAAGCGUUAUCCGGAUUUACUGGGUGUAAAGGGAGCGUAGACGGCUUUGCAAGCCAGAUGUGAAAGCCCGGGGCUCAACCCCGGGACUGCAUUUGGAACUGUAUGGCUGGAGUGUCGGAGAGGCAGGCGGAAUUCCUAGUGUAGCGGUGAAAUGCGUAGAUAUUAGGAGGAACACCAGUGGCGAAGGCGGCCUGCUGGACGAUGACUGACGUUGAGGCUCGAAAGCGUGGGGAGCAAACAGGAUUAGAUACCCCGGUAGU
rnacentral:rRNA from 1 species